rnacentral:rRNA from 1 species
AACGAGCGCUGGCGGCAUGCCUAACACAUGCAAGUCGAACGAGACCUUCGGGUCUAGUGGCGCACGGGUGCGUAACGCGUGGGAACCUGCCCUUAGGUUCGGAAUAACUCCCUGAAAGGGGUGCUAAUACCGGAUAAUGUCUGCGGACCAAAGAUUUAUCGCCUUUGGAUGGGCCCGCGUUGGAUUAGCUAGUUGGUAUGGUAAAAGCCUACCAAGGCGACGAUCCAUAGCUGGUCUGAGAGGAUGAUCAGCCACACUGGGACUGAGACACGGCCCAGACUCCUACGGGAGGCAGCAGUGGGGAAUAUUGGACAAUGGGCGAAAGCAUGAUCCAGCAAUGCCGCGUGAGUGAUGAAGGCCUUAGGGUUGUAAAGCUCUUUUACCCGGGAUGAUAAUGACAGUACCGGGAGAAUAAGCUCCGGCUAACUCCGUG